GUAGAAGUUCCCAAACAAAACAAAAAGGACCCCUAUUCACCAAGCAGGAAGGACACAUCGUGUCCCCCAGAGGCUCGUGUGUUUGGAUGUUUACCCCACGGUUGGUGGUAUGGUCUAGGGGCGGUUUCAGACCUGGAAAGCCGGAGCCUGUGGCGCAGAGAGGAUUUUUGAGAUUGGAGUUCUGGAAUCUGAGGCCUGGUGCAUGUUAGCCAAGCACUCUACCACAGAGCUCACCUGCAGCCCAGCGCAGUCUCACAAACACGGAAGAGCUCAGUUGAGUCUCGAGAUCAUCAAAAUUAAAAUGCAGUCAGAUGAGCUCCGCACUCAGGAGGCAAGCAACCGUUUUCUCAGGUUAAGGGCAGCCUACGCCACAUAGGGAAUUCAGAUCCUGACUGAUGUAUGAGGUUCAGCAGAGAGAUUCAGGAAGCAUGGGGACGAUCAAGAGCCGCCAGCAGAUAACUCCUGCUUAGGACCACACCGUCAACAAACCUCAAAAUGCGUCCCUGAAAUGCUGAGGUGUUGGGGUACAUGGAGGCAAAGCCAACACUCUGAGGAACAGCAAAACAAUGGAGAUUCCAGAUGGCUCAAAAUCUCCCCAGCAGGACCCUACUGACCCUGUGGAUUCGGUGACUCCUUGCCAGACAGGUAUAAAUCCGGGUGUUGCCGUGACUUGUCCAGGUCACCAAAGCUCCCUUGGCAAAUGUGUGACUCAGUGGCCUCUGUAACCUGAGCGAUACUGGUGGCGGCACUGUUCUCUGGAUCUGGG
rnacentral:lncRNA from 1 species